rfam:Bacilli bacterium VT-13-104 contig020, whole genome shotgun sequence.
CUAUAAUUAUCGCUAAAUCUAUUUAAGAGCGGGGGACCCAAUUAAUUACGGAUAUAUCCGUGUGGGUGAAUCCUUUAAAAGGAAGGGCUUCUAUUUUCUCUUAGUCCUAACCCGAAAGCUAACCCCGUCAGCGUUUAAGAGGAAACAA